GUAGCUCAUACUGUUCUCUUCCACAGGUCCUGCGUUGUAUCUUCCCAAGUGGCGUGGAUGUGAGGAGACACGACAUUUCACCUGAUGUUCCAUGGGAGACCCUACUGGUGAUGUGGACCUGACCCUCCGCCAUGUAGCAGACAACCCCCUCAGGUCCUGCGUUGUAUCUUCCCAAGUGGCGUGGAUGUGAGGAGACACGACAUUUCACCUGAUGUUCCAUGGGAGACCCUACUGGUGAUGUGGACCUGACCCUCCGCCAUGUAGCAGACAACCCCCUCAGGUCCUGCGUUGUAUCUUCCCAAGUGGCGUGGAUGUGAGGAGACACGACAUUUCACCUGAUGUUCCAUGGGAGACCCUACUGGUGAUGUGGACCUGACCCUCCGCCAUAUAGCAGACAACCCCCUCAGGUCCUGCGGUGUAUCUUCCCAAGUGGCGUGGAUGUGAAGAGACAGAUCCCCUGAUGUUCCCUGGGCAAUCUACUUACAUACAAUUCAACUGCAUUACAAAUUUUAAUAAAAACCACAGGAAACUUCUAUUUUUAAAAGUUUAUU